UACGGAGGGGGCUAGCGUUGUUCGGAAUUACUGGGCGUAAAGGGCCAGUAGGCGGCCAACUAAGUCCGACGUGAAAUCCCCAGGCUUAACCUGGGAACUGCGUCGGAUACUGGAUGGCUUGAAUUCGGGAGAGGGAUGCAGAAUUCCAGGUGUAGCGGUGAAAUGCGUAGAUAUCUGGAGGAACACCGGUGGCGAAGGCGGCAUCCUGGACCGGUAUUGACGCUGAGGCGCGAAAGCCAGGGGAGCAAACGGG
rnacentral:rRNA from 1 species